GCCGGGUUAGCUCAGCGGUAGAGCAACCGCCUUGUAAGCGGUAGGUCGUCGGUUCAAUCCCGACACCCGGCA
rnacentral:tRNA from 4 species